UAGUCAGGCUAUAUGCAUUCUUUUACUGUUCAAAAAAAAAAGAGUACUGAAAUGUAUAAUCCUUUGAUCUCUACUUGUUUGUAACCUAAUGUGAAAGCUAGACAAAUAUCUCCUCACAAAGACACAGAGAAGUGCCUGGUGUUACGUCAUCACAGGGCGUCGGAGUCGUUGGGUUCGGGGAAGGCGCCGGGAGUGUAGCCGAUGCGGCCAUGCUGGAUGAGGGCAGAUGAUCUGCGUAUGGGAGGUGUUUGAAAAUUACUUGUUUCUCGGUUAUCCCAUCCUACGCCGGUAGGAACUAAACUCACUAUGGUUGGAGCAAGGCGCGGCGAGCAGAAGAAUAACAGUAGUAGUAUAUACAUAGUUUCUACAUUGUUACUGGCCACCACUAUUUUAUAAAGCAUUUUGACAUGUAUUGUCACCUUAGGGUCAUCAUAGCAACCUGAGGAGACAGAUCAUAAUUUUUUUAACAAAUAAAGCAACACGGUUAGAGGUUAAGAAACUCGUUUUUGUUUUGUUUAGGUUUUUUGUUGUUGCUUGGUUGGGUGUUUGAGAUGGUCUCCCUAAAUUAGACUAAUAAGUGCUGACAUUUGAUAUAUUCCAUAAUGUUCAUUUUCUCAACAAAUUGUCAUGCUUCAAAGAGAGCAAUGCACGGCCUCCCAGUGGUUUUUACCUCCUCAUCAUCCAGGGGUUCUUC
rnacentral:lncRNA from 1 species